CUGGGUGACAGAGAGACGGGUUUCACUGGGUGACAGAGAGAAGGGUUUCACUGGGUGACAGAGAGAAGGGUUUCACUGGGUGACAGAGAGAAGGGUUUCACUGGGUGACAGAGAGAAGGGUUUCACUGGGUGACAGAGAGAGGGGUUUCACUGGGUGACAGAGAGAAGGGUUUCACUGGGUGACAGAGAGAAGGGUUUCACUGGGUGACAGAGAGAAGGGUUUCAUUGGGUGACAGAGAGAAGGGUUUCACUGGGUGACAGAGAGAAGGGUUUCACUGGGUGACAGAGAGAAG